rnacentral:lncRNA from 1 species
AGUGAUCCUUCCACCUCGACCUCCCGCAGUGUUGGAAUAACAGGUCUCAGCAACUCCUUUGUUGCCAACUUUUACCGGACCCAUGGGUCUGAAAGAGAAGCACAGUCCAUAGUGUUCCAGCUUUGAGUGUGGCUCUCUCAGAAGAAGGUGUGACAGCUGCCUCCUUGCUAAGAGAAAGACGUUUCAGUGUCUGCCUCCUGGGAAUGGAGUCUCCUGGUGACUCUGAGGAUGGCGCAGGACUCUCCCAGCUAACACUACACAGAGGCUCCCCCUCUUCAUGCCACCCCUUUGCCAGCUGCAGCCUGUGUGGACCCAGACACUUCUGACCCAGGCUCCAGUGCCCGCAUGUCUGAUAGCCUGUAUUUCAAACUCUGGGCUCUCCUGGACAUUCCCUCUCCAGCUGUAUAUGAUGUUAUUUUUCAGACCCAUUUACUGUUGUCCAGUGGCCUGCCAAGACCUUUAGGUGAAGACGCUGACUCCCUCGCCGGCUCUUCUUCAUUCUUUUCAAACACACGUCAGAGUGGAACGCACAUCCUUUUUGCUUCACCUUCCAGGGAGAGAACGAGUCUUGAAGCAUCAACAGCUCUUUGAACACUUCCCAGGAAGACUAUUCAAGGUAAAAUUAUGAGUAUCUUUUACAGCAGAAAUCCUUCUAUCAUCAUCUAUCAGAAAGCGAUAGGGAGCAGAGGAUGGGCAGGACGCUAAUAGCACACACUUCGCCUUGGCCAGGACCACACCACGUGCGGCCCACCCUCACUACUGCAGAAGAGUCUGUCAUGCCUUUGCCAUGCCUCUUGGCAACCUUCACCACUGGCAGUGCAGGGACUGUGAGACUCUGAGCUCUAUCAUUAACUGAUGCUGAAACUGUGGGCAAGUUGCUUAAUUUGGGUGAGAGUUCAUUUCUUCAGCUCCAAAGCGGUAAGAGAUUUAUUAGAACAACAAGUGGCCAUUCACAGUGGCUCACACCUGUAAUCCCAGCACUUUGGGAGGCCGA